UUGGACCCAGACUUUGAUCCUGGCUCAGGAUGAACGCUAGCUACAGGCUUAACACAUGCAAGUCGAGGGGAAACGACAUCGAAAGCUUGCUUUUGAUGGGCGUCGACCGGCGCACGGGUGAGUAACGCGUAUCCAACCUGCCCAUCACUUGGGAAUAACCUUGCGAAAGUAAGACUAAUGCCCAAUGAUAUCCCGCGAAGACAUCUGAAUGGGAUUAAAGAUUUAUCGGUGAUGGAUGGGGAUGCGUCUGAUUAGCUUGUUGGCGGGGUAACGGCCCACCAAGGCAACGAUCAGUAGGGGUUCUGAGAGGAAGGUCCCCCACAUUGGAACUGAGACACGGUCCAAACUCCUACGGGAGGCAGCAGUGAGGAAUAUUGGUCAAUGGGCGAGAGCCUGAACCAGCCAAGUAGCGUGCAGGAAGACGGCCCUAUGGGUUGUAAACUGCUUUUAUAAGGGAAUAAAGUGAGUCUCGUGAGACUUUUUGCAUGUACCUUAUGAAUAAGGACCGGCUAAUUCCGUGCCAGCAGCCGCGGUAAUACGGAAGGUCCGGGCGUUAUCCGGAUUUAUUGGGUUUAAAGGGAGCGUAGGCCGGAGAUUAAGCGUGUUGUGAAAUGUAGUGGCUCAACCUCUGCACUGCAGCGCGAACUGGUCUUCUUGAGUACGCACAACGUGGGCGGAAUUCGUGGUGUAGCGGUGAAAUGCUUAGGUAUCACGAAGAACUCCGAUUGCGAAGGCAGCUCACGGGAGCGCAACUGACGCUGAAGCUCGAAAGUGCGGGUAUCGAACAGGAUUAGAUACCCUGGUAGUCCGCACGGUAAACGAUGGAUGCCCGCUGUUGGCCUGAAUAGGUCAGCGGCCAAGCGAAAGCAUUAAGCAUCCCACCUGGGGAGUACGCCGGCAACGGUGCAACUCAAAGGAAUUGACGGA
rnacentral:rRNA from 2 species